AUGGAAGGGCCAUCGCUCAAAGGAUAAAAGGUACGCCGGGGAUAACAGGCUGAUCUCCCCCAAGAGCUCACAUCGACGGGGAGGUUUGGCACCUCGAUGUCGGCUCGUCACAUCCUGGGGCUGGAGAAGGUUCCAAGGGUUCGGCUGUUCGCCGAUUAAAGUGGCACGCGAGCUGGGUUCAGAACGUCGUGAGACAGUUCGUCCAUAUCCGGUGCAGGCUGUAAAGAGCACUUGAGAGGAGUCCUCCUUAGUACGAGAGGACGGGAGGAACGCACCUGUCAGUCGACC
rnacentral:rRNA from 1 species